GGGUUGUAAUUUUCAGUCACGUGUUGAUGAGUUACUUGUCCAGGUCCUGCUCCCUGGCAUCUCGGGCUAUCGCUGUUGGCAUGGCGGUCUCAUCACCAUCAGGUUCAGGGUUCGAAGAAAAUGAGCUGAGUAUGUGUUUCCGAUUUUUGAGAAAAAGAUCAAAACAUUUGUGUGCAUAUCAGGUUUAAGCUAUGGAUGUUGGUGAGAUUCCAUCCAGGAUUCCAGGGUGAUGAUCAAGGCGUCCCUCACCGUUCGCAGUUUCCAA